GAUGAACGCUGGCGGCGUGCCUAAUACAUGCAAGUCGAGCGAACGGACGAGAAGCUUGCUUCUCUGAUGUUAGCGGCGUACGGGUGAGUAACACGUGGAUAACCUACCUAUAAGACUGGGAUAACUUCGGGAAACCGGAGCUAAUACCGGAUGAUAUUUUGAACCGCAUGGUUCAAAAGUGAAAGACGGUCUUGCUGUCACUUAUAGAUGGAUCCGCGCUGCAUUAGCUAGUUGGUAAGGUAACGGCUUACCAAGGCAACGAUGCAUAGCCGACCUGAGAGGGUGAUCGGCCACACUGGAACUGAGGCACGGUCCAGACUCCUACGGGAGGCAGCAGUAGGGAAUCUUCCGCAAUGGGCGAAAGCCUGACGGAGCAACGCCGCGUGAGUGAUGAAGGUCUUCGGAUCGUAAAACUCUGUUAUUAGGGAAGAACAUAUGUGUAAGUAACUGUGCACAUCUUGACGGUACCUAAUCAGAAAGCCACGGCUAACUACGUG
rnacentral:rRNA from 1 species